rnacentral:miRNA from 1 species
GGAAGCAGGUGGGAGGACACUUGCUGUGGCUGGCCCCUGGAGACUCCUGACAGCAGCCUCUGUUCUCACCUAGUUCC